UACAGAAAGUGCAGGCGUUACUCAGCUUGACUGGGCGUAAAGGAUAUGUAGAUUGUUUUUAAAACUAAGUAUGAAUAGCUAUGGUCUUAACCAUUGAUGGAUACUUAAAGACUUUUUAACUUGAGUUGCGUAGGGGUUCUGGGAAUUUUGCAGGUACGAGGUCAAAUAUACAGAUUUGUGAAAGAAUGCUUAUGGCGGAGGCUGUUUUCUGGGCGUAACUGACAUUGAGGUAUUAAAGGUAGGGGAGCAAACGGG
rnacentral:misc_RNA from 1 species